CGGGGAAUUUUGGACAAUGGGCGAAAGCCUGAUCCAGCAAUGCCGCGUGUGUGAAGAAGGCCUUCGGGUUGUAAAGCACUUUUGUCCGGAAAGAAAUCCUUGGCUCUAAUACAGUCGGGGGAUGACGGUACCGGAAGAAUAAGCACCGGCUAACUACGUGCCAGCAGCCGCGGUAAUACGUAGGGUGCAAGCGUUAAUCGGAAUUACUGGGCGUAAAGCGUGCGCAGGCGGUUUGCUAAGACCGAUGUGAAAUCCCCGGGCUCAACCUGGGAACUGCAUUGGUGACUGGCAGGCUAGAGUAUGGCAGAGGGGGGUAGAAUUCCACGUGUAGCAGUGAAAUGCGUAGAGAUGUGGAGGAAUACCGAUGGCGAAGGCAGCCCCCUGGGCCAAUACUGACGCUCAUGCACGAAAGCGUGGGGAGCAAACAGGAUUAGAUACCCUGGUAGUCCACGCCCUAAACGAUGUCAACUAGUUGUUGGGGAUUCAUUUCCUUAGUAACGUAGCUAACGCGUGAAGUUGACCGCCUGGGGAGUACGGUCGCAAGAUUAAAACUC
rnacentral:rRNA from 1 species